rnacentral:pre_miRNA from 1 species
CAACAACUACCUCUGUCCCAAAUUUCUUGUCUUAGAUUUGUCUAGAUACGGAUGUAUCUAAUACUAAAAUGUGACUUGAUACAUCCAUAUCUAGACAAAUCUAAGACAAGAAUUUUGGGACGGAGGGAGUAAUUU